CAGCAGUAGCCGCGGGAAUACAGAGGGUGCGAGCGUUAAUCGGAUUUACUGGGCGUAAAGCGUGCGUAGGCGGCUUUUUAAGUCGGAUGUGAAAUCCCUGAGCUUAACUUAGGAAUUGCAUUCGAUACUGGGAAGCUAGAGUAUGGGAGAGGAUGGUAGAAUUCCAGGUGUAGCGGUGAAAUGCGUAGAGAUCUGGAGGAAUACCGAUGGCGAAGGCAGCCAUCUGGCCUAAUACUGACGCUGAGGUACGAAAGCAUGGGGAGCAAACAGGAUUAGAUACCCCCGUAGUCCCUGUCUCUUAUAA
rnacentral:rRNA from 1 species